AUUGAACGCUGGCGGCAGACCUAACACAUGCAAGUCGAACGAGUGGCGGACGGGUGAGUAAUGUCUGGGAAACUGCCUGAUGGAGGGGGAUAACUGCUGGAAACGGUAGCUACUACCGCAUACCAUACGCUGUUCCCAGAUGGGAUUAGCUUGUUGGUGGGGUAACGGCUCACCAAGGCGACGAUCCCUCGCUGGUCUGAGAGGAUGACCAGCCACACUGGAACUGAGACACGGUCCAGACUCCUACGGGAGGCAGCAGUGGUGAAUAUGGCACAAGGGGCGCAAGCAUGAUGAAGCCAUGCCGCGUGUAUGAAGAAGGCCUGCGGGUUGUAAAGUACUUUCAGCGGGGAGGCGUUACCCGCAGAAGAAGCACCGGCUAACUCCGUGCCAGCAGCCGCGGUAAUAC
rnacentral:rRNA from 1 species